AUUUGAGAACAUAUCAAACUUGACUUUUUUUUGCACAGACUCAAAGGAAAAAAAUAUCUGCUCCAAAUGAAAUCUGUGAGGAAAUGUUCUGUUGUGUAAUCCAAACAAACAGAAUGAAGCCUGAGUUUAUCUUGAAAUGCAGAGGAGAUCAGUUUGAAACAUGCUCUGUGAGACUGGAUCCAUCUGUGGCACCGGUGAGAGGGAUGAAAUCCAUCUGAAAUGCUUUAUUCAGAUGUUAGAGGAUGUUUGCAGGGAUUUGUACAUGCAGUUGAAACUAAAGUGAAGUUUGGGACAACAGCGACCUCUGCUGACAGCUUUAACUAAGUUCACGUUUACACUUUCUCCAAGUGGAGGAACAUGAUGAGCAGGUUUUAAAUUUAUGUAUUAAUGUUUGUUUUUUGAAAUUGCUGGGUAGCAACAACCACAACCUGUGACCUCAUGUAACAGAUAAAACAAAUGAAACUAAACAGUCUCAGAUAACUUUCCCCCCAAAUUCAACUUUUUGGAUUAAAAUCCCUGCACACAGACUCACUUUGUCACUUAGAUUUUUCAUAGCAUAUAUUUGUGAAACAGAGAUUGCUACAUUGCUCUAUUUAUUAUCCUGUGUAUCCAGUCUCUCAUCUCCUGUCUGUUCAUUCAGUAGAGUAUUCACUGAGUUUGACUCACUCAAUCAACAUCACGAGGAACACCUGUGUCAGCUUUUAAUUACUUCCACAAAUACAGCAAAACAGUCAUUACACAGAACAGUCCUUAUCAGAUGAUUAAUUUUUUGUAAUGUUGGGACUCGGGAGGCGAACCAACUCAGCUGCCGAUCAGGCGAGAACACAAGGAAAAAAAAAAACCUUCACAUUUGAAGAUGUAAUCAAAUGGAACUGGGAUUGGAACAAUUUCAUGACAAGCUUGGAGCCAAGAACUCCAGGUGAAUCUCAUCCACCCCCG